rnacentral:lncRNA from 1 species
CAAAACUACACGUGCCCAACUGAAGACACACCGGUGGUUGUGCAGCAGCUCUUGAGGCUUUGUUGGCUGAAAUCCAGCCUGAGACGCUGCACCUCGGUACCUGUGCGCAAUGCGUACGCUGCUCGCCCGCGCCGACCAAAACUACAUGUUCCCAUCUGAAGACAAUGCCUGUGGUUCUUAAACAGAAUUUGAGCUUGCUGCUGGCUCAAGUCCUUCCGUAGUAGCUGCAACACGGCUAACGCAGGCACGGCCGAAUGCGCUGCGAAAAGCUGUUCCAAGCCCUCAGCGGCAUCCAUUUUACUUGCAAGGUUCUGAACGACUUUCGCGAUUCUU